GCCGUUGUGGUGUAGUGGCAGCACGCACACCUCGUCACUUGUGAAGCGUGGGUUCAAUUCCCACCAUCGGCU
rnacentral:tRNA from 1 species